GACGAACGCUGGCGGCGUGCUUAACACAUGCAAGUCGAACGGAAAGGCCCUGCUUUUGUGGGGUGCUCGAGUGGCGAACGGGUGAGUAUCACGUGAGUAACCUGCCCUUGACUUUGGGGUACCUUCAGUAAACUCGAGCUCUUAUCGGACAUGAGAUCCUGCUGCAUGAGGGGGGUUGGAGAGUUUCGGCGGUUGGGGAUGGACUCGCGGCGUAUCGGUUUGUUGGUGGGGUAGUGGCUUACCAAGGCGUUGACGGGUAGCCGGACUGAGAGGGUGAGCGGCCGCCUUGGGACGGGGACACGGCCCAAAGGGCUACAGGAGGCAGCAGUAGGGAAUCGGCGGCAAUGGGCGAGAGUUUGACCGAGCAGCGCGGAGUGAGUGAAGAAGGUCGUCGGGUGGGAAAACUCGGUUGGUGGAGAAGAACGUUGGUGAGAGUGGAAAGCUCAUCAAGUGACGGUAACUACCAAGAAAGGGCCGGCUAACUACGUG
rnacentral:rRNA from 1 species